UAAAUGAUGAGGAUUCGGGCCGGCGCUACGCGACUUGCGUGUGUUGUCAUUGGCCGCGACCUUUGGGGAGGAGCGCAAGGAGGCGGAGAAACGAGAUCGGGAGACAGAUUAAAUCCAGCGUUUGAACAGUUUCUUCGGUUUGUCAGUACUCUGAGAAAACCUAAUUAUCGAAGAAGCCUGGAUGCUAAAACAAGCUAUGAAGCCGCCUUUUUGUCGAACAGGACUGAGGCUGGACGCUGAACUCACCUGCGGCGCGAAGGUGUCACCACUUUGUCCACGACAUCAUCCCCAAUCGCUGAGACGUUGUCCACGAUUGCAGAGACAUGGUCCAUGAUCGGAGAGACAUUGUUGAGGAUGAGGGAGACAUCGUCCUCGAUCAGAGACAUUGUCCACGAUCGCAGAGACCUUGUCAAAGAUGAGAGAGACGCUGUCCAUGAUCAGAGACAUUGUCCCAUGCUUCGUAGAGACCUUGCGAUAGAAUCGGCGGAGACGGGGGUCACCGAUUUGACGGCAUUGCCCGCGAUCAUGGAAACAUUGUCGAUGAUCACAGAGACGCCGUCUAUGAUCUCAGAGACAUCGUCCACGAUCGCAAAGACAUUGGUCAUGAUCACAGAGACUUUGUCUAUAAUCUCAGAGACAUUGUCCGCGAUCACAGAGACGUAGUCCGCAAUCACAGAGAGUCUUCGUACAAUGAAGAAGUUCUUUGAGACCAGGACAGAAUCCUCCAGGAGGAGAAGACGACAGCAGCUGAGACCUGAAGCGGAUGAAAGAAAAAAGUGUUACGAAGCUAUUAGAUAAAUUAGAUAAAAGACCUCCACAUUCUACCUGCUGUAAACAGUGCUGGUUUUCUGUUGUUCAAGUGAAAACACUUUGUUUUUCCAUCUGUAAUGUAGUCAAGGGCACAUUUUACUAAGACUAAUAUGUCUUUAUUAAACACCCGUGAGAACAUUCAACUGCUUAUGAUACAGCUAUUUAAUAACUGUACGACCAAGACAUGUUAAUCUUUGGAAAAUUUGCUCAUAACUACAUUAACCCCAAUCCUAACCAGCUCUAACAAGUGUUUCCUUGUUGGUCAUUAUCUUUGCUGUGAUUUGUUAAAUGUAGUCUGGAAAUAAAAUCAGCAAAAGUUUCUUCCCAAACUUUUGAGUUGUAUUGCAAAUCAUUUUAUUGCAUUUUAUUAUAAGAAAAUGAUGCUCAUGUUUACAUUUAGACACAUUUUGAAAAUAUUUUUUAGGGUUU